AUUGAACGCUGGCGGCAGGCUUAACACAUGCAAGUCGAGCGAGUGGCUGACGGGUGAGUAAUGUCUGGGAAACUGCCUGAUGGAGGGGGAUAACUACUGGAAACGGUAGCUAAUACCGCAUACCAUCUGAUGUGCCCCGAUGGGAUUAGCUAGUAGGUGGGGUAAAGGCUCACCUAGGCGACGAUCCCUCGCUGGUCUGAGAGGAUGACCAGCCACACUGGAACUGAGACACGGGCCAGACUACUACGUGAGGCAGCAGUGGGGAAUAUUGCACAAUGGGCGCAAGCCUGAUGCAGCCAUGCCGCGUGUGUGAAGAAGGCCAUCGGGUUGUAAAGUACUUUCAGCGAGGAGGCGUUACGCGCAGAAGAAGCACCGGCUAACUCCGUGACAGCAGCCGCGGUAAUAC
rnacentral:rRNA from 1 species